GGGACUGUAAAGGUUUCGACGGGGAUUAUGAGAUAUAAUAAGCGUAGCGGGCUGGCUAAUCCCGUAUAAUGGCCAACUUAAAUAAUAAACGACAACAAUAAAGUUGCUAUGGCUGCCUAAUUGAUUCUCCCUUGGGAGUUUCAAUUAGCAGUGCUGCGGUCAAUGCACCGCCCGUUCCUCUUAGGAGUACCUCGACCUAAGACUGAGCGUAACACCAGAGGUGAACUUGAAUUGAGAGUUUUGUCUGUAUCAAUCAAGCAUUAAGACAAUACCCGAAUAAAAGAUUGUUAAUCAUCGUUUUGUAGGGGAAUUUCAAAGGAUUAACUGACUACGGAGAAGGUUAUAUCAAGUGGUUUUCGGACGCGAGUUCGACUCUCGCCAGUUCCACCA
rnacentral:tmRNA from 1 species